UCCUCUGUAGCUUCAGAGUCUGCAUUUAGUACGAGUGGAAGGGUAUUGGAUCCUUAUAGGAGUUCUUUAACUCCUUACAUGGUUGAGGUUUUAAUAUGCACACAACAAUGGUUAAGGUGUUCCUAUAAAAAAGAGGAUGAUGUAACAAACUUGGCCCAAAUGUUAGAAGAAGUUGAUUUUUUUGAGUCACUUGAUGCUCGGAAUUCAACAAUUGCUCUUACAUGAUUCUUCAUAGUAUGGCAGGUAGGUAGGAAGCUGCGGUUUUUUGUCCUUUUGAUGUAGAAAAGCAGCCUUGGACAGUACUGACUUUGAAGCUGCUGUUUUGAUAAUUUUUUGGUGCGAAUCAACAUGCUUUUGUGAAUCUGCAUAUGGUAAGCUAACUACUAAAGCAAACUUGUUAUUUGUAUGGUUCUGUUAUUGUUUUUUGAAGUAAUGCUAGCU